GUAGGUGGCAAGCGUUGUCCGGGAAUUAUUGGGGCGUAAAGCGCGCGCAGGCGGUUCUUUAAGGGGCUGAUGUGAAAGCCCACGGGCUCAACCGUGGAGGGUCAUUGGAAACUGGAGAACUUGAGUACAGAAGAGGAAAGCGGAAUUCCACGUGUAGCGGUGAAAUGCGUAGAGAUGUGGAGGAACACCAGUGGCGAAGGCGGCUUUCUGGUCUGUAACUGACGCUGAGGCGCGAAAGCGUGGGGAGCAAACAGGAUUAGAUACCCUGGUAGUCCACGCCGUAAACGAUGAGUGCUAAGUGUUAGGGGGUUUCCGCCCCUUAGUGCUGCAGCUAACGCAUUAAGCACUCCGCCUGGGAGUACGGCCGCAAAGGCUG
rnacentral:rRNA from 1 species